GACUAUAGAACUGGAGUUCAGGCUGGCUGCUAUUGAGGCCCUACAUGAAAAGUAUGACGCCUUGCAGGACGAGUUGGAGAUGUUGGCGGACGACCCCGACGAGCAAUAUGCGGAACGCGAAGAAUUUGAUAAACUAUACUGCAGUCUAGUGGCUACUGCUCGCCAGCUGAUCACUAUCGCGCGCAGAGAGUUGAAUGCAGACAUCGCGUCCGAGACAUGACAAAAGAAGCUUUUUUAGCAGCUCUCAACCGAUUUAUUGCUCGGAGGGGGAAACCACGCCACAUCUUCUCGGACAAUGGUAGUACUUUCGUCGGGGCCUUCAAUGAGCUAGCGCAGCUUCUAGCACAGGAUCUCGACCUAAAUAGAAUCGAUCCAGGUCACCAGAGCCAGUGUGUCCUCGCUUCAGCGAUUCCAGAGAAUCGAAUAUCUGAAGCAACAUUUUUGGAAUCGCUUCUCAAACGAAUAUGUUCUCUGGCUUCAGGAAAAAUCCAAAUGGCAUCGCUCUACCAGAGGAGAACUAAAUGAAGGGGCUCUCGUUGUAAUCAAGGACAAGACCUCUCCGCCUCUUAUGUGGAUGAUGGGACGAGUCAUCCGUGUGCUACCAGGGAGUGACGGCGUCGCAAGAGUUGCAGACAUACGCACACGCAAGGGUGUGCUCAGACGGGCAUUCAACACUAUUUGCCCCCUGCCUCUACAGUGACUCUACCUUGAAGACCACGGCUCUUCAACAGGGGGAGCAUGUUGGAGCCGCCUUAACUGCGGCUGAUGAACCGGUUGUGUAGCCGGACGC